CCUGUGAUUGGAGACAUCACAAGCCAGGAGCCAGGUAGCCCCUUGCUGAGCGAAUAUGCCACCAUAUGAAUGAGUCUCUGGUUGUGAUAUCUAAAUAUGUGGCCCAAGAAGUGCCACUGUCAACUGCUCACAUUGGGUUUCAAGUGGACUGAGUUUCUUUCAACCGGAGCGUGCUCACAUCCCUGGGGGUUUCCGUGGCUCAGUAUUUCAUGCAACGGAAUUUAAGAACUAAUAAUUUAUGGAAGACACACAAUUGAAGUUAAAUAUUUCCUGCAAACUCUUUAAGGUCUUAUAUUUUUAAACCUAGGGGUAUCUACCUGUAGGUAAAAUUAAAUGAUAUUGUAAGUUGACUGUUCCACUGUGGUUCAUGGAAAUACCAAAGGAACAAAAAAACAACUAAAUUAAAGCACAACUAUUAGGC